AACGCUAGCUACAGGCUUAACACAUGCAAGUCGAGGGGCAGCAUGGUCUUAGCUUGCUAAGGCCGAUGGCGACCGGCGCACGGGUGAGUAACACGUAUCCAACCUGCCGUCUACUCUUGGACAGCCUUCUGAAAGGAAGAUUAAUACAAGAUGGCAUCAUGAGUCCGCAUGUUCACAUGAUUAAAGGUAUUCCGGUAGACGAUGGGGAUGCGUUCCAUUAGAUAGUAGGCGGGGUAACGGCCCACCUAGUCUUCGAUGGAUAGGGGUUCUGAGAGGAAGGUCCCCCACAUUGGAACUGAGACACGGUCCAAACUCCUACGGGAGGCAGCAGUGAGGAAUAUUGGUCAGUGGGCGAGAGCCUGAACCAGCCAAGUAGCGUGAAGGAUGACUGCCCUAUGGGUUGUAAACUUCUUUUAUAAAGGAAUAAAGUCGGGUAUGGAUACCCGUUUGCAUGUACUUUAUGAAUAAGGAUCGGCUAACUCCGUGCCAGCAGCCGCGGUAAUACGGAGGAUCCGAGCGUUAUCCGGAUUUAUUGGGUUUAAAGGGAGCGUAGAUGGAUGUUUAAGUCAGUUGUGAAAGUUUGCGGCUCAACCGUAAAAUUGCAGUUGAUACUGGAUAUCUUGAGUGCAGUUGAGGCAGGCGGAAUUCGUGGUGUAGCGGUGAAAUGCUUAGAUAUCACGAAGAACUCCGAUUGCGAAGGCAGCCUGCUAAGCUGCAACUGACAUUGAGGCUCGAAAGUGUGGGUAUCAAACAGGAUUAGAUACCCUGGUAGUCCACACGGUAAACGAUGAAUACUCGCUGUUUGCGAUAUACUGCAAGCGGCCAAGCGAAAGCGUUAAGUAUUCCACCUGGGGAGUACGCCGGCAACGGUGAAACUCAAAGGAAUUGACGGGGGCCCGCACAAGCGGAGGAACAUGUGGUUUAAUUCGAUGAUACGCGAGGAACCUUACCCGGGCUUAAAUUGCAGAUGAAUUACGGUGAAAGCCGUAAGCCGCAAGGCAUCUGUGAAGGUGCUGCAUGGUUGUCGUCAGCUCGUGCCGUGAGGUGUCGGCUUAAGUGCCAUAACGAGCGCAACCCUUGUUGUCAGUUACUAACAGGUUCCGCUGAGGACUCUGACAAGACUGCCAUCGUAAGAUGUGAGGAAGGUGGGGAUGACGUCAAAUCAGCACGGCCCUUACGUCCGGGGCUACACACGUGUUACAAUGGGGGGUACAGAGGGCCGCUACCACGCGAGUGGAUGCCAAUCCCCAAAACCUCUCUCAGUUCGGACUGGAGUCUGCAACCCGACUCCACGAAGCUGGAUUCGCUAGUAAUCGCGCAUCAGCCACGGCGCGGUGAAUACGUUCCCGGGCCUUGUACACACCGCCCGUCAAGCCAUGGGAGCCGGGGGUACCUGAAGUGCGUAACCGCGAGGAGCGCCCUAGGGUAAAACUGGUGACUGG
rnacentral:rRNA from 1 species